rnacentral:rRNA from 1 species
UGAGUACGAGACGCUAAGGCGUCGAAGUAGUGGAUGUCAUACUUCCAAGAAAAGCUUGCACUGUCAUAAAUAAAAACGCCUGUACCAUAACCGACACAGGUGGGUAGGUAGAGUAUACUAAGGGGCGCGAGAUAACUCUCUCUAAGGAAUUCGGCAAAAUGACUCCGUAACUUCGGGAGAAGGAGUGCCUUAUUCGUAAGGCUGCAAUAACAAGAUCCAAGCAACUGUUUAUCAAAAACACAGGUCUCCGCUAAGUCGUAAGACGAUGUAUGGGGGCUGACGCCUGCCCAGUGCCAGAAGGUUAAAGAAGUCGGUUAGCAUUAGCGAAGCUGGUAACUGAAGCCCUGGUGAACGGCGGCCGUAACAAUAACGGUCCUAAGGUAGCGAAAUUCCUUGUCGGGUAAGUUCCGACCCGCACGAAAGGCGUAAUGAUUUGGAUACUGUCUCGGAGAGGGGCUCGGUGAAAUAGACUUGUCUGUGAAGAUGCGGACUACCUGCACCAGGACAGAAAGACCCUAUGAAGCUUUACUGUAACUUGAAAUUGAAAUUGGACUUUAUUCGCGCAGUAUAGGUGGGAGGUUUGAUUAUAAUCUUGCGGGAUUAUUGGAGCCAUCAGUGAGAUACCACUCUUGUAAUGUUAGAUUUCUAACUUUGAAUCAUUAUCUGGUCAAAGAACAGUUUCAGGCGGGCAGUUUGACUGGGGCGGUCGCCUCCUAAAUGGUAACGGAGGCGUACAAAGGUUUCCUCUGAACGGGUAGAAAUCGUAUCUAGAGUGUAAAGGCAUAAGGAAGCUUGACUGUGAGACCUACAAGUCGAGCAGGGACGAAAGUCGGUCUUAGUGAUCUGACGGUACUGAGUGGAAAGGCCGUCACUCAACGGAUAAAAGUUACUCUAGGAUAACAGGCUGAUCUCCCCCAAGAGUUCACAUCGACGGGGAGGUUUGGCACCUCGAUGUCGGCUCAUCGCAUCCUGGGGCGGUAGUACGUCCCAAGGGUUGGGCUGUUCGCCCAUGAAAGCGGUACGCGAGCUGGGUUCAGAACGUCGUGAGACAGUUCGGUCCAUAUCCGGUGUAGGCGUUAGAAUAUUGAGAGGAGCCUUCUUUAGUACGAGAGGACCGAGAAGGACAUACCUCUGGUGUACCAGUUAUCGUGCCAACGGUAAACGCUGGGUAGCUAUGUAUGGAGUGGAUAACCGCUGAAGGCAUCUAAGUGGGAAGCCCACCUCAAGAUAAG